GACGAACGCUGGCGGCGUGCUUAACACAUGCAAGUCGAACGGAAAGGCCCUGCUUGCAGGGUACUCGAGUGGCGAACGGGUGAGUAACACGUGGGUGAUCUGCCCUGCACUUCGUGAUAAGCCUGGGAAACUGGGUCUAAUACCGGAUAGGAGCCAUUUUUAGUGUGAUGGUUGGAAAGUUUUUUCGGUGUAGGAUGAGCUCGCGGCCUAUCAGCUUGUUGGUGGGGUAAUGGCCUACCAAGGCGGCGACGGGUAGCCGGCCUGGGAGGGUGGACGGCCACAUUGGGACUGAGGGACGGCCCAGACUGCGACGGGAGGAAGCAGUGGGGAAGAUUGCACAAUGGGCGCAAGCCGGAUGCAGCGACGCCGCGUGGGGGAUGACGGGCUUCGGGUUGUAAACUCCGUUCGCUAGGGACGAAGCUUUUUGUGACGGUACCUAGAUAAGAAGCACCGGCUAACUACGUG
rnacentral:rRNA from 1 species